UAGUUCUAGCAUCGAUAAAGAACGCAGCGAAAUGCGAUAAGUAGUGUGAAUUGCAGAAUUCAGUAAAUCAUCGAAUCUUUGAACGCACAUUGCGCCCCUUGGUAUUCCAUAAGGCAUGCCUGUUCGAGCGUCAUUUGUACCCUCAAGCUCUACUUGGUGUUGGGUGUUUGUUCUACUUUGUGCGUGAACUCGCCUUAAAUUAAUUAGCAGCCGGCAAUCUAGUGUUUGAGCGCAGCACAUCUUGCGCUCUUCGCUGUAUUGUGGCGUCCAGGAAGCCUAUAGUUAUGCGCUUGACCUCGGAUCAGGUAGGGAUACCCGCUGA
rnacentral:misc_RNA from 1 species